CAUAUCGCGUUGAAGCAGCGGUUCUCAUACGAUCACCGAAGUUAAGCAACAUCGAGCCUAAUCUGUAGUUAGAUGGGUGACAUCUAGGUGAUCCCAGGUGCUGUAA